ACGGGGACCCGCACAAGCAGCGGAGCGUGUGGUUUAAUUCGUUGCUACACGAAGAACCUUACCUGGGUUUGACAUAUAGGUUGUAGGGAACUGAAAAGGGACCGACCCUUCGGGGAGCCUAUACAGGUGUUGCAUGGCUGUCGUCAGCUCGUGUCGUGAGAUGUUCGGUUAAGUCCGCUAACGAGCGCAACCCUCGUCGUAUGUUAUAUGUGUCAUACGAGACUGCCGGUAAAAAGCCGGAGGAAGGUGAGGAUGAUGUCAAGUCAGCAUGACCUUUAUAUCCAGGGCUACACACACGCUACAAUGGUCUGUACAAUGGGUAGCCAAGCCGCGAGGCGGAGCCAAUCCUGAAAGCAGGCCUCAGUUCAGAUUGCAGUCUGCAACUCGACUGCAUGAAGCCGGAGUUGCUAGUAACCGCAGGUCAGCAAUACUGCGGUGAAUACGUUCCCGGGUCUU
rnacentral:rRNA from 1 species